rnacentral:rRNA from 1 species
GACAGAGGGUGCAAACGUUGUUCGGAAUUACUGGGCGUAAAGCGCGUGUAGGCGGCUAUGCAAGUCGGAUGUGAAAGCCCUCGGCUCAACCGGGGAAGUGCACCCGAAACUGCAAAGCUAGAGUCUCGGAGAGGAUCGUGGAAUUCUCGGUGUAGAGGUGAAAUUCGUAGAUAUCGAGAGGAACACCGGUGGCGAAGGCGAGUCUCUGGACAUUUCCUGACGCUGAGGCACGAAAGCCAGGGGAGCAAACGGG